GAGUUUGAUCCUGGCUCAGGAUGAACGCUGGCGGCGUGCUUAACACAUGCAAGUCGAGCGAAGCGUAUUUGCGGAAGUUUUCGGAUGGAAGCGGAUGCGACUUAGCGGCGGACGGGUGAGUAACGCGUGGGUAACCUGCCUCAUACAGGGGGAUAACAGUUAGAAAUGACUGCUAGUACCGCAUAAGCGCACAGGACCGCAUGGUCCGGUGUGAAAAACUCCGGUGGUAUGAGAUGGACCCGCGUCUGAUUAGCUGGUUGGCGGGUAACGG
rnacentral:rRNA from 1 species